UACAGAGGGGGCAAGCGUUGUUCGGAAUUACUGGGCGUAAAGGGCGCGUAGGCGGCCUUCUAAGUCGAACGUGAAAUCCCUGGGCUCAACCCAGGAACUGCGUCCGAUACUGGAAGGCUUGAAUCCGGGAGAGGGAUGUGGAAUUCCCGGUGUAGUGGUGGAAUGCGUAGAUAUCGGGAGGAACACCAGUGGCGAAGGCGGCUUCCUGGACCAGCACCGACGUUCAGGCACGAAAGCGUGGGGAGCAAACAGG
rnacentral:rRNA from 1 species